GACGGAGGGCGCAAGCGUUGUUCGGAAUUACUGGGCGUAAAGCGCGGGCAGGUGGUCUGUUAAGUCUGCGGUGAAAUACCGGGGCUCAACUCCGGAUAUGCCGCGGAUACUGGCGGACUAGAGACCGGGAGAGGCAAGUGGAAUUCCUGGUGUAGCGGUGGAAUGCGUAGAUAUCAGGAAGAACACCGGUGGCGAAGGCGGCUUGCUGGGCCGGUUCUGACGCUCAGCCGCGAAAGCGUGGAGAGCAAACAGG
rnacentral:rRNA from 1 species